GUAGGUGAACCUGCGGAAGGAUCAUUACCGAGUUAGGGUCCUCUAGGGCUCGACCUCCUACCCGUUGUCUAUCUUACCUUUUGUUGCUUCGGCGGAUCCGUCCCUUAGGGGACCGCCGGAGGGGCUAAACCCCCCUCUGGCCCGCGUCCGCCGGUGGCCCACAAUCAAAAACUCUUGUUUAAACGUGUCGUCUAAGUGACAAACAAAUAAAGUAACAACUUUCAACAACGGAUCUCUUGGUUCUG
rnacentral:misc_RNA from 1 species